UAAAAAUCAUGGUGCAGAUUAUGAGUGGCUUAGCAUGGCCUCAGCUGUGACUCAGUUCAACUCUGUUCAGCAUAGUUCAGAACUGUCACUCAAGAGAUUUGGAAGAUGACGCAGGAAAGAAGAGUGCAUUUACUGUGCUUUUGGCAGACUUGCAGGGAUUCCUUUGAGUGGUUGCAGUGAGUUGCUUAUAAGGUACAAGUUCUCAGAGGUUUUUUGUCCUGAUUUUUUUGAACAGCAGCCUCAGUGGUACUGGAAUUCUCUAGAGAGAUGAUCCUCACUGGAUUUCCAAACCCUUUAACUUGGGAAACAGUUUGACCUAAGAAGACCUCUGCUAAUUCAAGGGACAGAUGCAAGAUGGAAAGGAAUAACUACGAUUUUCCAGAAGUUUCAGUGCCAAGUAUAACCCAAGACAGGAAUUUCUCUCUGAAAGAGGUGAAGCCCCCACAUAUUUUCUGAAGCUCAGUGGAUGAAGGAGGAACAAAACUUGGAUGGGAGCCCUUCACAGGGGAAGAGUAAACCUACCUCAUAUGCUUCCUGCCUGGCCCAUUGACCCCAAAACUACAAAUCUGUGUGCUUGGUACUGGGGAUGGCAUGUGGCAUAGACUCAGCAACGGGGAAAGGCAGGAGGAUAUAAGGGACCUCUGGAGAGAGCAAGGAGGCUUCUGCAGUGCUGGGAGAUCAAGGAUGAAUUCUGGCCACUGUACUUUAGGGCAAGCACUUAGUUUUUCCUCCUAAUAUACAGUCCUCUACUUCUUGCCUAAUAGAAACAAGAAGCUUGUUGGAGGACUGGCCUUCUAAAAAUGUGGUGAGCUGCUUUCCUUGUGCACUGAAGGACCUACAGAACACAGCUGCUCCUCAACAUAGCAGUUACCCUCCCCCCAAUGCCAGCACACCUGUCCCUGGGAUGGAUAUUUGGGGACACCUAUCCCACUCUGCAGCCUGGACUCAGCCCCGUGGAGACCUGCAUGGAAGGGUCCUUGCAGCAUCUACCACAUCCUUAGGCAGUUGCGCACCUCAGCUGUUUGUGAAUCCCUUGCCAAAUGUGCUGAUGGAAGCUGCAGCCCUGUCUCAACCCUCAAGCAGCAGCAGGUCCCUGCAGCAUCCCCAGCAGACACCAGCCUGCCUCUCAGCAGCUCUCAGCCUCCUCAAUGCCUGUGUGCAAGGCUUACAGAAGCAGGGAUGAGCAUUGCACACUCAUGAAUAAGUGUAAUUGAAAUUCUGUUCAUAGCUAUUUGGGGAGAAAAAAAAAAUUGUCAGCGUAAUUAAAAUGCACAGGGGAAAGAGAAGUAGCCUAUACAGACACAUUAUGUUACACAGCACCCAUCCAGACAAAGGUCUUUGUCUAUAAAAAGCUCAAAUAUAUCUGAGAUAAUUGCUGUUCAUUGAUUGUGCCUCUGAAGUGGAGUCAUUCUGGCAUAUUCCACCUUGAGGCUGUCUUCUAUGUUUCUUUGAAAGGGAAAAAUUCAAAAGUUCAAGUAAAGACACAAGUUCAGUCAAAUAUGUGGCAGUAAAAGCCUGAUUUACAGCAUUAAGGUUACUUUCAGCUGACCUAGCCCUAAGUGGUGCUGGGCAGUUUUGUCUGAUCUUGUGUUAAUGCUGUUAGCCUGUGUUUACUAAAUGAUUUAGCACUGAAAUGUUGGGAGUUGCCAAAUAUUUGUCUUCUGUCCUUUAUGAAUAUUUGAACAGCUUUCCCCAGCUCACUCCGAAUGCAGAAAAGGGUGUUAAAAGUAUUGUGCUCAGGUAGCAUUACUCCACGGCCGCUGCAGGCCAACAGCAUUCUUGCAUCAGUGACGCCUUUGGCUCUGUACUAAAUAAACCAAAGUCUG
rnacentral:lncRNA from 7 species